UGAGUUCUAUUCAGAGGAUCCAAGAAAAGACAGGAACAGAAAGUGAACUCCACAAAGUAGGGCUCAGACCUUCAUACAGGGAACACAAGAGUCAGAACCCCAUAUGAAUACCAUGCACACAUGCACAUUUAAAACAUAACAUAUAUGCUCAAGGUGGAUAGAGAAUCUGCAUAUUGAUCAGUGCUGAUGAAAGACAGGUUGGGCAGCCAUUGAGAAAGUGUCAACUUUCCUGAUUGCAAUCUGGUUAGCAUAAGUGGUAGAAUUCAGUCAUUCUAUCCUAACAUUUAAUUCAGUGUUGACCAAAUCAAAGAUGGGUUGUUUCGUUUGGCUUAACAUUCUCAUCAUUUAGAAAUGUUCCAUUUUUCAUCUUUCUCCAGCUCUUCCUCUCCUGUCCUUUCCCCAGAGAGGGGGAUGGGCUCAAGUAGCCAAAGUGCUUGCUCUUCACUCAGUGGCAGACAUGACACUGGCCACACAACUCAGGCAGAGCCCACUGUGGUGUCCCCAGUUGAGGGUUAUUUUGUGUCUUCCUAGUGCUGCUCCCUGAGCAAGGUCAGGGUCUGAUGAUCACAAGGGAGGAGGAGGGAGCAAGGACAACUAUGACCGAGGUGAGGCAGCCUUUGCUUUUUCUAGACAGAAAGGUGACUUUUGUGAUACCUUUUCAUUAAGUACCAUGGUUGAACCAGAGUGAUCAUAUACACUGUAGGAGGUAGCGAGUCUCUUUGGGAAAAGGAGGAAAUAGAAUUCCACCAGGUCAUGCAAACCACCUUUUAUACAGUGCUGUGUCAGAUCCACAUGGUAUAUUAGUGGGUGUUUGGUUUUUUUCUUCUGAAACAAGUGUUUGUGUUUUGACUAAGCCUUUUUUUAUUUUUUCACUCAACAGUUGACAGACACCUUAUCAAUCAUCUUUUAUUUUAUGUGUAAAUGCUCUUGCCUCUUAAGGGGACUUCUUUUUAUUUUUUCCAUUUUUAACAGGAUAGAUUUUAAUGUCUCUAUCUUGAGGUAAAGGAAUUCAUAUUUCAUACCACCCCAAAUGAUGUCUGGCACUUUGGUACAAAGAGAUAUAGUCCAAUAUCGUUCUGGUUUAGGAUACGAAAAGGCAUAUUCCAUUGGAGCACAAAACCCAGGGGUGGAGUUGGGCAAAAGGUACAGAGGGAAUGAUUUGGGUGAUGGGAAGGGUAUGGACUUAAGUUAUGGCUGACAGAUGUAGUUGGUCAUGGGUAGACCCUAAAGUGCAAAGGGCACUGCAAACCACCAAGCUGCAUAGCAGCUGUGGUACCAUAGCCAUGCUCUGGCCAGAUAAAAAGCUCACUGCACUGGAACCACAGCUGAGUCUCCCUCUGGACCCCUCCACAAAUUCACUAAGUAUUCACAUGAGGGAUGAUAAUUCUGCUGAUGUGACCACUCAGGUCUCCAGUCAUGGUUCCAGGGACUACCUCGGUAGAGUGUGAGUAUCCUAUCAGGGCCCUUGAGAUGUGGACCAACAUGCCGUCUUUGUGGGAAGUAUAUCCAGAGUGUCCCCUGCCAGUCUCAUUCCUGACCUAGCCACCCUGCACUAGCUGGACUGCCUGCCAACGACCCCCAGAGGGGUAGAGACAGCGGUGGUAAGACAGCAGAGAGGGGAAUGAUGUGUGGUUGGAGGAGCCAGCAUGGAGUGGGAUGGUCAGCAGCCUGAGCUCACUCUGUCCCACCCUUCUCAGGCAGCUGUGGAGGCAGCAACUUAGCCCUGUAGCAGACAGCACCACAGACUCAUGAGCUCUGGCACAGGAUGCUGAAGGAGUGCAAUGGCUACAGAGAGAUUGGUGAGACAUGCUGAUGCUGGGACAAAAAAUGAUGCUGACCGUGAUCUUGCUGAGUGCCCUGACAAUGGCAGUGGGAAAGCUGUAUUGGGCGUGUGUUCCUGACCCACCCUUGCUACAUCCUUCUGUAUGGUCAAGGCCAGGGGUACUUGCAACCUCUAAUAGUACUCAGCUGUUAGUAUUCCCUUGGUCUGAGAGUAAAAAGUAUUCCAAAUUGGUGAAUGACACUGCUAUGUGUCAGGACCUAUUUGUUUUACUAGAAAUAGUACCAAUGCUGGAUGUGUUUUUUGUGGACCCACAAACUUGGAGGAAGAGUAUCUCUAAGACCAUAGUGCAAACAUUAGGAUGGAAAUGCCUAUGUCUCAGACUGGACAAGCUGCCUUGCCUUGGGUUUUUAGACCUUGUAAGACAAAGAACACAGAGACUAUCAAAUCUGUCUUAGAAAAAUCAAUCAAAUGAAGAAGUUGUUAUAAUGACCCU
rnacentral:lncRNA from 1 species